rnacentral:rRNA from 1 species
GACGUAGGGCGCGAGCGUUGUCCGGAUUGAUUGGGCGUAAAGAGCUCGUAGGCGGCUCGUUGCGUCGGCUGUGAAAACCCGCAGCUCAACUGUGGGCCUGCAGCUGAUACGGGCGGGCUGGAGUUCGGUAGGGGAGACUGGAAUUCCUGGUGUAGCGGUGAAAUGCGCAGAUAUCAGGAGGAACACCGGUGGCGAAGGCGGGUAGCUGGGCCGACACUGACGCUGAGGCGCGAAAGCCAGGGGAGCGAACGGG